GGAAGAUCCGCUGGAGGAGGAAAUGGCAAUCUACUCCAGUAUUCUUGCCUGGAAAAUCCCCUGGACAGAGGAGCCUGGAGGGCUGCAGUCCAUGGGGUCACAAAGAGUUGGACACGACUUGAGUGACUACGCAGACGACCCAGGCGGAUUCUUUACCGACUGAGCCACCUGGGAAGGCGGGGAAGCCCCACACCAUUGCCAAAGAGGUAUAAAAUGCAAGGAAAAGAACUGUUUACACUUUGCCUCCAGUUCGAGUGAUGUAAACUGAAGAAAGAUCUUCUACUCUGGCUAGUUUUAAAUGUCGCCUUCCCCUACAAGGUGAUGACAC
ensembl:lncRNA